rnacentral:lncRNA from 1 species
UGUUUGCUUUGAACAUUAUAGGAUGGGAUGAAACACCCCUAGUGUAUGUAUUUGAUUUAAAAUGACAUAUACUUAUACAUAUUACUUAGCUACUCAAUGCAUUUGUUUAACAUAGUAGCCUUCUCAAGAUGACUAUGUAUACAACACCAAAUCAACACAAGUAGAAUAAUUUAAACUUAUUUUAUACAUCAUUUUAAAAAUUAAAUAUAUGUCUUAAACACUAAAACAAGGAAAUAUGCAAUUUUUUUAUGAAUAAUUAUAAUGACCUAAAUUAUAAUGUAUCGAUAUUGAGUUUUUUAAAAUCUGAAAUUCUAAAAUAUGACGCAUUGAUAUCAUAAUAUGUUGUUUAAAAAAAUAUACAAUGAAAAAAAGAAAUAAAGAAAAUGACAGUUUUUAUGGACAAAUAUGUGUUAAAUUUAUGGAAAAAAAAACAAAUUGUGAAAAUAACUUAGAGCUAAUUUUGCUAGAAACAUAUAACCUAUUAGAUGGAUACAUGGGAAAAGAGCUAUUUUGCUUUGAACAUUAUAGGAUGGGAUGAAACACUCCUAAUGUAUGUAUUUGAUUUAAAAUGACAUAUACUUAUACAUAUUACUUAGCUACUCAAUGCAUUUGUUUAACAUAGUAGCCUUCUCAAGGUGACUAUGUAUACUACACCAAAUAACACACAAGUAGAAUAAUUUAUACUUAUUUUAUACAUCAUUUUCAAAAUUAAAUAUAUGUGUUAAACACUAAAACAAGAAACUAUGCAAUUUUUUAUGAAUAAUUAUAUUGACCUAAAUUAUAAUGUAUCGAUAUUUGAGUUUUUUAAAAUCUGAAAUUCUAAAAUAUAACGCAUUAAUAUCAUAAUAUGUUGUUUAAAAAAAACUUACAAUGAAAAAAAGAAAUAAAGAAAAUGACAGUUUUUAUGGACAAAUAUGUGUUAAAUUUAUGGAAAAAAAAACAAAUUGUGAAAAUAACUUAGAGCUAAUUUUGCUAGAAACAUAUAACCUAUUAGAUGGAUACAUGGGAAAAGAGCUAUUUUGCUUUGAACAUUAUAGGAUGGGAUGAAACACUCCUAAUGUAUGUAUUUGAUUUAAAAUGACAUAUACUUAUACAUAUUACUUAGCUACUCAAUGCAUUUGUUUAACAUAGUAGCCUUCUCAAGGUGACUAUGUAUACUACACCAAAUAACACACAAGUAGAAUAAUUUAUACUUAUUUUAUACAUCAUUUUCAAAAUUAAAUAUAUGUGUUAAACACUAAAACAAGAAACUAUGCAAUUUUUUAUGAAUAAUUAUAUUGACCUAAAUUAUAAUGUAUCGAUAUUUGAGUUUUUUAAAAUCUGAAAUUCUAAAAUAUAACGCAUUAAUAUCAUAAUAUGUUGUUUAAAAAAAACUUACAAUGAAAAAAAGAAAUAAAGAAAAUGACAGUUUUUAUGGACAAAUAUGUGUUAAAUUUAUGGAAAAAAAAACAAAUUGUGAAAAUAACUUAGAGCUAAUUUUGCUAGAAACAUAUAACCUAUUAGAUGGAUACAUGGGAAAAGAGCUAUUUUGCUUUGAACAUUAUAGGAUGGGAUGAAACACUCGUAAUGUAUGUAUUUGAUUUAAAAUGACAUAUACUUAUACAUAUUACUUAGCUACUCAAUGCAUUUGUUUAACAUAGUAGCCUUCUCAAGGUGACUAUGUAUACUACACCAAAUAACACACAAGUAGAAUAAUUUAUACUUAUUUUAUACAUCAUUUUCAAAAUUAAAUAUAUGUGUUAAACACUAAAACAAGAAACUAUGCAAUUUUUUAUGAAUAAUUAUAUUGACCUAAAUUAUAAUGUAUCGAUAUUUGAGUUUUUUAAAAUCUGAAAUUCUAAAAUAUAACGCAUUAAUAUCAUAAUAUGUUGUUUAAAAAAAACUUACAAUGAAAAAAAGAAAUAAAGAAAAUGACAGUUUUUAUGGACAAAUAUGUGUUAAAUUUAUGGAAAAAAAAACAAAUUGUGAAAAUAACUUAGAGCUAAUUUUGCUAGAAACAUAUAACCUAUUAGAUGGAUACAUGGGAAAAGAGCUAUUUUGCUUUGAACAUUAUAGGAUGGGAUGAAACACUCGUAAUGUAUGUAUUUGAUUUAAAAUGACAUAUACUUAUACAUAUUACUUAGCUACUCAAUGCAUUUGUUUAACAUAGUAGCCUUCUCAAGGUGACUAUGUAUACUACACCAAAUAACACACAAGUAGAAUAAUUUAUACUUAUUUUAUACAUCAUUUUCAAAAUUAAAUAUAUGUGUUAAACACUAAAACAAGAAACUAUGCAAUUUUUUAUGAAUAAUUAUAUUGACCUAAAUUAUAAUGUAUCGAUAUUUGAGUUUUUUAAAAUCUGAAAUUCUAAAAUAUAACGCAUUAAUAUCAUAAUAUGUUGUUUAAAAAAAACUUACAAUGAAAAAUAGAAAUAAAGAAAAUGACAGUUUUUAUGGACAAAUAUAUGUUAAAUUUAUGGAAAAAAAACAAAUUUUGAAAAUAACGUAGAGCUACUUUUGCUAGAAACGUAUAACCUAUUAGGUGGAUACAUGGGAAAAGAGCUAUGUUCGCUUUGAACAUUAUAGGAUGGGUUGAAACACUCCAAAUGGAUGUAUUUAAUUUAAAAUGACAUAUACUUAUACAUAUUAGUUAGCUACUUAAUGCAUUUGUUUAACAUAGUAGCCUUCUCAAGAUGACUAUGUAUACAACACCAAAUCAACACAAGUAGAAUAAUUUAUACUUCUUUUAUACAUCAUUUAAAAAAUUAAAUAUAUGUCUUAAACACUAAAACUUGGAAAUAUGCAAUUUUUUUAUGAAUAAUUUUAAUGACCUAAAUUAUAAUGUAUCGAUAUUGAGUUUUUUAAAAUCUGAAAUUCUAAAAUAUGACGCAUUGAUAUCAUAAUAUGUUGUUUAAAAAAAUAUACAAUGAAAAAAAGAAAUAAAGAAAAUGACAGUUUUUAUGGACAAAUAUGUGUUAAAUUUAUGGAAAAAAAAACAAAUUGUGAAAAUAACUUAGAGCUAAUUUUGCUAGAAACAUAUAACCUAUUAGAUGGAUACAUGGGAAAAGAGCUAUUUUGCUUUGAACAUUAUAGGAUGGGAUGAAACACUCCUAAUGUAUGUAUUUGAUUUAAAAUGACAUAUACUUAUACAUAUUACUUAGCUACUCAAUGCAUUUGUUUAACAUAGUAGCCUUCUCAAGGUGACUAUGUAUACUACACCAAAUAACACACAAGUAGAAUAAUUUAUACUUAUUUUAUACAUCAUUUUCAAAAUUAAAUAUAUGUGUUAAACACUAAAACAAGAAACUAUGCAAUUUUUUAUGAAUAAUUAUAUUGACCUAAAUUAUAAUGUAUCGAUAUUUGAGUUUUUUAAAAUCUGAAAUUCUAAAAUAUAACGCAUUAAUAUCAUAAUAUGUUGUUUAAAAAAAACUUACAAUGAAAAAAAGAAAUAAAGAAAAUGACAGUUUUUAUGGACAAAUAUGUGUUAAAUUUAUGGAAAAAAAAACAAAUUGUGAAAAUAACUUAGAGCUAAUUUUGCUAGAAACAUAUAACCUAUUAGAUGGAUACAUGGGAAAAGAGCUAUUUUGCUUUGAACAUUAUAGGAUGGGAUGAAACACUCCUAAUGUAUGUAUUUGAUUUAAAAUGACAUAUACUUAUACAUAUUACUUAGCUACUCAAUGCAUUUGUUUAACAUAGUAGCCUUCUCAAGGUGACUAUGUAUACUACACCAAAUAACACACAAGUAGAAUAAUUUAUACUUAUUUUAUACAUCAUUUUCAAAAUUAAAUAUAUGUGUUAAACACUAAAACAAGAAACUAUGCAAUUUUUUAUGAAUAAUUAUAUUGACCUAAAUUAUAAUGUAUCGAAAUUGAGUUUUUUAAAAUCUGAAAUUCUAAAAUAUGAGGCAUUGAUAUCAUAAUAUGUUGUUUAAAAAAAUAUACAAUGAAAAAAAGAAAUAAAGAAAAUGGCAGUUUUUAUGGACAAAUAUGUGUUAAAUUUAAGGGAAAAAAAAACAAAUUGUGAAAAUAACUUAGAGCUAAUUUUGCUAGAAACAUAUAACGUAUUAGACGGAUACAUGGGAAAAGAGCUAUUUUGCUUUGAACAUUAUAGGAUGGGAUGAAACACUCAUAAUGUAUGUAUUUGAUUUAAAAUGACAUAUACUUAUACAUAUUACUUAGCUACUCAAUGCAUUUGUUUAACGUAGUAGCCUUCUCAAGGUGACUAUGUAUACUACACCAAAUAACACACAAGUAGAAUAAUUUAUACUUAUUUUAUACAUCAUUUUCAAAAUUAAAUAUAUGUGCUAAACACUAAAACAAGAAACUAUGCAAUUUUUUAUGAAUAAUUAUAUUGACCUAAGUUAUAAUGUAUCGAUAUUUGAGUUUUUUAAAAUCUGAAAUUCUAAAAUAUAACGCAUUAAUAUCAUAAUAUGCUGUUUAAAAAAAACAUACAAUGAAAAAAAGAAAUAAAGAGAAUGACAAUUUUUAUGGACAAAUAUAUGUUAAAUUUAUGGGAAAAAAAAAACAAAUUGUGAAAAUAACGUAGAGCUACUUUUGCUAGAAACAUAUAACCUAUUAGGUGGAUACAUGGGAAAAGAGCUAUGUUCGCUUUGAACAUUAUAGGAUGGGAUGAAACACUCCAAAUGGAUGUAUUUGAUUUCAAAUGACAUAUACUUAUACAUAUUACUUAGCUACUUAAUGCAUUUGUUUAACAUAGUAGCCUUCUCAAGAUGACUACGUAUACAACACCAAAUCAACACAAGUAGAAUAAUUUAUACCUAUUAUAUACAUCAUUUUAAAAAUUAAAUAUAUGUUUUAAACACUAAAACAAGGAAAUAUGCAAUUUUUUUAUGAAUGAUUAUAAUGACCUAAAUUAUAAUGUAUCGAUAUUGAGUUUUUUAAAAUCUGAAAUUCUAAAAUAUGACGCAUUAUUAUCAUAAUAUGUUGUUUAAAAAAAUAUACAAUGAAAAAAAGAAAUAAAGAAAAUGACAGCUUUUAUGGACAAAUAUGUGUUAAAUUUAUGGAGAAAAAAAAUUGUGAAAAUAACUUAGAGCUAAUUUUGCUAGAAACAUAUAACCUAUUAGAUGGAUGCAUGGGAAAAGAGCUAUUUUGCUUUGGACAUUAUAGGAUGGGAUGAAACACUCCUAAUGUAUGUAUUUGAUUUAAAAUGACAUAUACUUGAACAUAUUACUUUGCUACUCAAUGCAUUUGUUUAACAUAGUAGCCUUCUCAAGGUGACUAUGUAUACUACACCAAAUAAACACAAGUAGAAUAAUUUAUACUGUAUUGUUGUACACUCCAUUUAGAAAACGUCUGAAUGUAUCGUGUCUAAACACUGAAAACAAGGAAACCUAUGGCAAUGUUUUUUAUGAACUACAAACUUUAUACUUAUUUUACUAGCAUCGAUCUUUAAAAUUAAAUAUAUGUUUAAACACUAAAACAAGGGAAAUAUGCAAUUUUUUACUGAAUAAUUAUGAUGACCUAAAUUACAAUGUAUCGCGAUAUUGAGUUUUUAAAAUCUGAAAUUCUAAAUAUGAUGCCUUGAAUAUCAUAAUAUGUUGUUUAAAAAAAUAUCACAAUGAAAAAACGAAUAAAGAAAAUGACAGUUUUUAUGGGGACAAAUACUGUGUUAAAUUUAUGGACAAAAACACCAAAUUGUGAAAAUAACUUAGAGCUAACUUUGCUAGAAACAUAAACUAUUAGAUGGAUACAUGGCAAAGAGCUAUGUUUGCUUGAACAUUAUAGGAUGGGAUGAAACACCCCUAAGUGUAUGUACUUUGAUUUAAAAUGACAUAUACUUAUACAUAUUACUUAGCUACUCAUGCAUUUGCUUUACAUAGGUAGCCUUCUCAGAUGAUACGUAUACACACACCAAAUCAACACAAGUAGAUGAAUUUAAACUUAUUUUAUACAUCAUUUUAAAAAUUAAAUAUAUGUCCUAACACAUUAAAACAAGGAAAUAUGCAAUUUUUUAUGAAUAAUUAUAAUGCACUAAAUUAUAUGUAUAGAUAUUGAGUUUUUUAAAAUCUGAAAUUCUAAAAUAGAGGCAUUUGAUAUCAAAAUAUGUUGUUUAAAAAUAUACAAUGAAAAGAAAUAAAGAAAAUGGCAGUCUUUAUGGGACAAUAUGUGUUAAAAUUAAGGAAAAAAAACAAAUUGUGAAAAUAACUAGAGCUAAUUUUGCUAGAAACAUAUACAGAUUAGAGGAUACAUGGGAAAGAGCUAUUUUGCUUGGAACAUUAUAGGAUGGGAUGAAACACAUAAUGUAUGUAUUUGAUUUAAAAUGACAUAUACUGUAUACAUAUUACUUAGCUACUCAUGCAUUUGUUUAAGAUCAGUAGCCUUCUCAAGGUGACUAUGUAUACUACACACAAUAACACACAAGUAGAAUAAUUUAUACUUAUUUAUACAUCAUUUUCAAAAUUAAAUAUAUGUGUAAACACUAAACAAGAAACUAUGGCAAUUUUUUAUGAAUAAUUAUAUUGACCUAUUAUAAUGUAUCGAUAUUGAGUUUUUAAAAUCUGAAAUUCUAAAAUAUAACGCAUUAAUAUCAAUAAUAGCUGUUUAAAAAAAUACAAUAAAAAAGAAAUAGAAGAGAAUGAGUUUUUAUGGACAAAUAUAUGUAAAUUUAUGGAAAAAAAAACCAAUUGUGAAAAUAACGUAGAGCUACUUUGCUAAAACAUAUAACCUAUUAGAUGGAUCAUGGAAAAGAGCUAAUGUGCUUGAACAUUAUAGGAUGGGAUGAAACCCAAUGAUGUAUUUGAUUAAAUGACAUAUACUUAUACAUAUUACUUAGCUACUAAUGCAUUUGUUUAACAUAGUAGCCCUUCUCAAGAUACGUACGUAUACAACACCAAAUCAACACAAGUAGAAUAAUUUAUAUUAUAUCAUCAUUUUAAAAUUAAUAAUAUGUUUUAAAACUAAAACAAGGAAAUAUGCAAUUUUUUAUGAAUGAUUAUAAUGACCUACUAAAUUAUAAUGUAUCGAUAUUGAGUUUUUAAAAUCUGAAAUUCUAAAAUAUGACGCAUAUAUCAUAAUAUGUUGUUUAAAAAAUUAACAUGAAAAAAAGAAUAAAGAAAUGACAGAGUUUUAUGGCAAAUAUGUGUUAAAUUAUGGGAAAAAACAAAUUGUGGAAAAUAACUAUAGAGCUAAUUUGCUAGAAACAUAUAACCUAUUAGAUGGAUACUGGGAAAAGAGCUAUUUUCUCUUUGGAACAUUAUAGGAUGGAUGAAACACUCCUAAUGUAUGUAUUUGAUUUAAAAUGCAUAUACUUAACAUAUUACUUUAGCUACUCAAUGCAUUGUUUAACAUAGUAGCCUUCUCAAGGUGACUAUGUAUACUACACCAAAUAAACACAAGUAGAAAAUUAUACUUAUUUAUACAUCAUUUUCAAAAUUAAAUAUAUGUGUUAAACACUAAAACACAGAAAACUAUGCAAUUUUUAUGAUAAUUUGUACUAAUAUUAUAUGUAUCGAUACUUUGAGUUUUCUGUAAAAAUCUGAAAUCUAAAUAUAACGCAUUAAUAUCAUAAUAUGUUGUUUAAAAAAACUUACAAUGAAAAAUAGAAUAAAGAAAAUGACAGUUUUUAUGGACAAAUAUAUGUUAAAUUUAUGGAAAAAAAACCAAAUUGUGAAAAUAACGUAGAGCUACUUUUGCUACAAACAUAUAACCUAUUAGGGUGGAUACAUGGAAAAGAGCUAUGUCCUUGAACAUUAUAGACAUAGGUGAAACACUCCAAAUGGAUGUAUUUGAUUAAAAUGACAUAUACUUAUACAUAUUACUCUACCUACUUAAUGCAUUUGUUUAACAUAGUAGCCUUCUCAGAUGACUAUGUAUACAACACCAAAUCAACACAGUAGAAUAAUUUAUACUUAUUUUAUACAUCAUUUUAAAACAUUAAAUAUAUGUUCUAACACAACUAAAACGAAAUAUGCAAUUUUUUAUGAAUAAUUUAUACUUAUUUUAUACAUCAUUUUAAAAAUUAAAUAUUGUCUUAAACAGUAAAACACGGAAUAUGGAAUUUUUUUAUGAAUAAUUUUAUACUUUUAUACAUCAUUUAAAAAUAAAUAUUGUCUUAAACACUAAACAAGGAAAUAUGCAAUUUUGUAUGAAUAAUUAAAAUACCAAUAAAUUAUAAUGUACAUAUUGAGUUUUUAAAAUCUGAAAUUCUAAAAUAUGACGAUUGAUAUCAUAAUAUGUUGUUUAAAAAUAUACAAUGAAAAAAAGAAUAAAGAAAAUCAGUCAUUUUUAUGACAAAUAUGUGUUAAAUUUAUGGAAAAAAACAAAUUGUGAAAAUAACUUAGAGCUAAUUUUGCUAGAAACAUAUAACCUAUUAGAUGGAUACAUGGGAAAGAGCUAUGUUUCUUUGAACAUUAUAGGAUGGGAUGAAACACCCUAAUGUAUGUAUUUGAUUUAAAAUGACAUUACUUAUACAUAUUACUUAGCUACUCAAUGCAUUUGUUUAACAUGUAGCCUCUUCUCAAGAUGACUAUGUAUACAACACCAAUCAACACAGCUAGAAUUAAUUAACUUAUUUUAUACAUCAUUUUAAAAAUUAAAUAUAUGUCUUAAACACAAAAACAAAGAACUAUGCAAUUUUUUAUGAAUAAUUAUAAGACCUAAAUUAUAAUGUAUAGAUAUUGAGUU